rnacentral:tRNA from 1 species
UCCCUGGUGGCUCAAAUGGUAAAGAAUCUGCCUGCAAUGCAGAACACCUGGAUUCGAUCUCUAGGUAGGGAA